rnacentral:SRP_RNA from 1 species
GGCCGGGUCCCAUGCAACGACGAACCGGCGAAUCCCGCCAGGUCCGGAAGGAAGCAACGGUAGUCAGGAUUCGCGUGUGCCGUGGGGUGCCUGGCCUUU